AUAAUUUUGCCAAAAGCACAUGACCACCAUAUGUUUGAUGAAAGUUUUUGCAUGGUUUUGAUUUGAGUUUCGGAACAUGAAAUCUUUUAUGUAAAUUACAUGUUUGGGUGGUCUGAAACUACACUUUUAUGAAAGAUCAUGCUUAAUGCAUUAUGGCUCAGAAAUAGGACUUGCAAGUCUUGGUAUGACGAUACCAACUCAGACAAAUGCCAUAACAGACACAAACUAGUUUAAAAAUUAGAUUUUAUCAGACUUUCAUGAUUAAGAAAUUUCAGAAUGAUACAUGUUCAGAAAAAGUUAAAAAUUGGGCAUAAAGAGAUGUUAGGUGGUCCCCGAAGAAGGCGUGAGUUUAGACAACUCAUUGCCCAAAAUCGUGAUUUGCCAAUCUGGGUAUAUUAUUAUACGCUGGCUUAAGUGUUGUAUGGCGUAUCAGACUCAGACAGUCCAACCCUGGCGGCAUACUUGGGUUGGGGGCUUCCCGUCGAGUCAAUGUCGGAUUUUAUAUAGCCCGUGGAAUAUCAGAUUUGUAGGGGAGUGCCACCUAACUCAGAAGUAAUACAAAGAUCAGAAAUUGUUUUGACAAGAAUGUCUUAUGAUUUUCGAAUGAUGCCCAUGUGUUUUCAAAAGCUAUUUUAUACGUGAUGUGUUGAUGAAAAUUGCUCUUAUCUAUUAUAUAUAUGUUCAAAUUCUUUAUUUUGGAUUGCUUCGCGUGCCAGUACAUUUGUGCUGACCUCUGCUCCUUCCAAGUUUUGAGACACAGUCUAGGGGUCCAGAUAAACAGUCGAUAUUUCAGAUCGCAGAGCAGAUUGUGCAGGGGUGAGCCUUCUAUAUUCCAGAAGGCCUGUUUACUUUCAGAUAUUUAUCUUUAGGGCCUUGUCCCAGUUUUCAGAUAGUUUUGUUUAGUUCAUAGUAGAUAUUUCGCAGACUGAGUCAAACAUUAUUAUUAUCCAGAUAUAUUUUGGAUUUCAAUUCUUCAGUAUUAUGAUCACAUUCAGACUGACCAUGUUUCCGUAUGAGAUUUCUAUUUCCGCAUUAUCUUUUAUUAUAUGAAUGUUGUGCAUGAUUACCAGAUAGACAGAGAGCGUCCUGGGCCUUCAUGGUUCGGGAAUGCUCAUCACGGCCAAGGCCCUGAUUCGUGUCGUGACAAAUUUGGUAUCAGAGCACGGCUCAUGGUCCCAGGGUGUCUGCGAAAUUGCGUCGGGUAGAGUCUUAUUUAUGGGUGUGUAGCGCGCCACACUUAUAAGCAGGAGGCUACUAGGCGUUUAGGAAUGUCUCUCUUUCUUCAUGUUCUAGUUCGUGCAAUAAAGUCAGAAUGUUCCUCUUUCAUACUCUAAUUUGUGCUAUGGUGUCGCCCAUACGAAAGUAAAAUGUCAUCCCAAAUUCUUUCCUUACUCUAAUGUCCUCAGAUAUGCCUCAUUAUUGAGGUGAUUCAAGUGCAGAAGUUUAGAAUCUAAAUGGUAUGGUCCUUUCUGAUUGAACCAUAUAAGAGUUAAAAUUUGUGCAAGGACUUGAGAAGAGUCCAGUGGUGCUUCAAUGUGUAUUGACUCCGAUGUAAACAUUGACCCUGAUGGAAUCGUGCUUUUCAGCUUGAGGUAUUAAUUNNNNNNNNNNNNNNNNNNNNNNNNNNNNNNNNNNNNNNNNNNNNNNNNNNNNNNNNNNNNNNNNNNNNNNNNNNNNNNNNNNNNNNNNNNNNNNNNNNNNNNNNNNNNNNNNNNNNNNNNNNNNNNNNNNNNNNNNNNNNNNNNNNNNNNNNNNNNNNNNNNNNNNNNNNNNNNNNNNUAAAUGAAUAUUUUAGUUGAAUAACCGAUGUUCGAAAUGAUUUACCCUCCUUAUGGUGAUAGACUAAUGUGGUAACUAGUAGCAUGUGUGGAUGGUAUGGUAGUCCGUGGAGGAAGUGUUUGACUCUGAUUUUAUUUAUACAGAGUAAGAUGUGUAUUCUUAGUUCAUUGGAUAUUGCGUAUUAAAUUUCUAUCUCAAGUAAUCUUGUCAUCAAGGUGUUGUUGAAAUAAAAAUAAAGUCUAGUGAAGCCGUGUGGGGCUCUUUCGAUUCACUAGCAUAGUUGACUUGUCAUUCAUCUCAUUUUCUUGUUCAAAAUACAAAAAUCAAAGUCUAGUGAACCGUGUGAGGCCUAUUUCGAUUCACUAGCAACUUGUUGUUCUUGUGUUGGUUUAAUAUAUAAAUAUGUAUAGCUGAAUUUGUUUGCAUGAGAUUGAGUUGGUAAAGAGGUGAUUCGUCCUUUUGUGUUGUUUAGUAGAAGGUAGAGAAGAAGUUGUUAGUUAGGGUGAUUUGUUGGUUGCUUGAAGUGUGAAAAUGGCUAUAUUAGCUAGUAAGUUGUAAGUAUAGACUCAUGGUUGUUUGUGGAAUCUGAAGGUAGUCUAAAUGUAUGCUUGGGUAAGUAAGAGUGAUGUGAGAAGCCGUAUAAAUAGAUAAGAUUGUAUGGAGUUAUAGUAUAAGAUUAAUGUCGAUUAUGUCUAUUAUGUGACUUUACCCCUUGACCUUCUUUUCCUUGGUAGUUGUAAACUAGUACUACUUGUGAGAAGGUAUGUAGUAGAUUUUUGAGGUAUAGUAGUAAUGCCAUAAAGUUUCUUUCGUCGUGGAUAGUAGCUAGAUAAAAUCAGGUAUUUUGGGUAGAAUGUCCCAAUUUGAUGGACUAGUAAAUUAUGUUGUAUUCCUCAUGGGUGGUAUUUACUGAAUAAAACAAGUAUGAGCUGAUGCCUAUGAUGCUUUACAACAUGUAUUUAUCGUACCUAAAAGUCCCGAAGUCAACAAGGUAAAACAAUGCAAGCUAUACAAUUAUCAACUAUGAGCUGAAAAUCUGAAAUUUCUGCAUAUGCAUGCCAACCUUUGUGGACCUUUUAAAGCUAGAAAAUAUACACUUUCAUACCAGCCCGUGUGAACUUCCUAAUGUCUAAUAAAGGUGUUCCCAUCCUGUUUUGACUAUCUAGAAGGUUCUGGAACGUUUGCAGCAAUGUGGGGCACUUAUCGAAGCCCCACCAAGCUCGAAAACCCACCCGAAUAGUCCGAAACGUGCCCAAAACGUGAGAAAUUUAAUGGGAUGUGACAUUGAGCAUCACAAUGUGGUUGUAAAAAUAGUGACUUAAGAUUAAUGAUGUAUGUUUUGUAAGAAUUAUGUAUAAGGUUGGGUUGUAAAUCAUGUUUAACACUAGACAUUAAGUUUGAACAAUUGAUGUCCAUNNNNNNNNNNNNNNNNNNNNNAACCGUAUACAAUUCAUUCAUUUUAUUUUUACAAUUAUCAUUCGCCAUUACCUCCUCCUCCCGAACCUCCAACCACCUAACAAUAAUCAAUACUCUACCGUACUAUGACUAUUAGGCUGCCCUCAGUACAUAUCAACUGUAAUCAUAUCAAAUAUCGGGAUCAUCCCAUGUUAGGCUUAAGCCCCUGAGCUACCACCCACACGUAUAUCAAGUAACACACAUAAGAGAUCUUUCCAAUAACUUAGUUCAAAAGCUUUUGAGAUUAUUACAUUAGUGUUCAUGCCAAUAGAGUACCGUUGGAAUAAUGAUACAUCAAUAGGAACCAAGUAAUAGACUUUCUAUACAAUAACGAUGUAAUAAAGACUCAUUGGUACAUCAACAAUGUGUUUCGGAAUCAUCAAUAUCACAACAAUGAAAUAGGAGCCUUUCGGUAUAUCAAUGAAACAUUUUGACACUUUAUAGAAUGGAAACAACUUCGUUGGUAAUGUAGAACAAUACAUGUUUUUGGACAACCUCGGAAUCUUACUUGAUGGAACAUUGGUGUUUUCAUGCCAAAGAACAUCGUUAGAGUAUGCUUUACAUACCUCGUUGUAGAUUCGGAUACCAAUUCAACACAACUUCCCGCCUUUACAAAUCACUUAUCUACAAUGAAAUGUUUGGCAUCUAGUAUUAGCAACCCAACACCACAAUUCUCUUCCAUAAUUCCAUACUACCAAUAUUUGCAAAACAUUCCAAAAACCAACUUGAACAAUAGGUUUAUGUGUGUAUAUAUAUAUAAUCAUCAUUUCAAUACCACAUCAUCAAUACCACAUCAUCACCCCAAAUUCCUUCACAAUUUAACAUAAUCCAACCAUGCACAAGAAUAAUCCAACAUCAUUUCCAAUCAUCUUUCAACAACAAUCAAAUAACAUACUUCUUAUGCUCACAUGCAUAUAUAUAUACAUAUCCAUAUAAAUAACACCAACAUAAUUUACAUCCUUACCAAAAAAAUGGCCCUUUUGAUUUCGAAGUCCUGUUGGCACAAAUAAGGGGUGCUUCUCGAAGCCCUUGAGACGGUGAACACAACUACGGAAUCAAUUUGGAUUUUCUACGGUUGAAUCACAAGAUAAUUGGAGUUGAACUUAGGCUAGGGUUUCUUAUUCUUCAAUGAUUUGGAUGAUAAAUGGUGGAUAUAAGGCUAAGUAUAUGUAUAUAAUGACCAAUUUUCGUCCAUGAGGUGAUGGAAAAUGACCAUAUUGCCCUUAAAAAUUUAAGUAAAUCCGAAUCUGUCCAUUUCAUUUUUUACAAGGAGUUAUGAUUAUUUAAAGUCGACCCAAAAAUCUGUUUGGCUGCAGUACUUUUGUGUGCAGAAAAUUUCUGCACAUUUACUGUUCAUUGCGUCCACCGUUUUUAAGUUUCGAACAUGCUCGCUUAUAUCCGAUACUCAUCUGUUUUCAGAAAUCUUUAUAUCGUUGGAAAGCUAACUCGAUAAACUUCGCAUAGAAACUUCGACGAGCAAAUUCCGGUAUAAACAAAGUCGAUUCCUAUACACAUAUAAUCAAACUAUACACUUGAAACCAUCUCAAAAUAAUCAAUACUCAUACUUAAACUCAUAUAUACCUAACUUAUGAUCAAUACAUAUACUCCAACACAUAUAACCAUGGCUAAUGCACGUAAUUAAGUACGGGGUGUUACAAGUAGUAAUGUCAUAAAGGUGCUUUGGUUGUGGAUAGUAUCUAGAUAAAAUCAGAUAUUUGGGGUAGAAUGUCCCAAUUUAAUGGACUAGUAAAUUAUGUUGUAUUCUUCAUGGGUGGUAUUUCCUGAAUAAAACAAGUAUGAGAUGAUGCUUAUGAUGCCUUACAACAUGUAUUAUAGUACCUAAAAGUCCCUAAGUCAAUAAGGUACAACAAUGCAAGCUAUACAAUUAUCAACUACAAGCUGAAAAUUUGAAAAUCCUGCCCAUGCACACUGAAAUUUCUGCACAUGCAUGCCAACCUUUGUGGACCUUUUAAAGCUGGAAAAUCUACACUUUCAUACCAGCCCGUGUGAACUUCCUAAAGUCUAAUAAAUGUGCUCCCAACCUAUUUUGACCAUCUAGAAGGUGCUGGAACGUUGGCAGCAAUGCAGGUCAUUUAUCGAAGCCCCGCCAAGCUCGAAAAUGCGUCCGAAUAGUCUGAAACAUGCCCAAAACAUGAGGAGUUUAAUGGGUUGUGAAGUUGAGCAUCACAAUGUGGUUGUAAAAAUAGUGACUUAAGAUUAAUGAUAUAUGUUUUGUAAGCAUUAUGUAUAAGGUUGGGUUGUAAAUCAUGUUAAGCACUAGACAUUAAGUUUGAAUAAUUGAUGUCCAUGAAGGUGGAUGUGAUGAUUUCUUGGUUAAUGAUACUAGUUUUAUGGAAGUAAUCUAAUAGGAUUGAAUGGUAUAUGCAAGAGCCUAAGUUUAUUUGAUUCGUAGUGAAGUAUGAAGUUGCAUAUAUAAUGUAGAAGUAUGCCCAAGGUGAUCUAAGGUUGCGGUAUUUUCUAAGACUAUUACACGUUUUGUGUGACGAGUGGUACCGUUUAGUUGCUAGGUGGAGAAAGACUAGUUAGAUGCUAUAUGGUUUUCUAAAUAGCUAGUUAAGGAGUUUUGAUUGAUAGUGUUGAGCCUUUUUAUAUGAUCUUGAUUCUCAUAGUAAAGAGAUGUAAGUUUGGAGUCGCGAUAUUGGUAGGCUAUGUCAGAAGUAGUAUGAUUCAUUGAAGGCUUGGUGAUAUCCAUGUUGAGUGCUAGAUUUUAAGUUUGAGUUUUUGAAGGUUGAACUAAUAGAAAUAAAAGUUAAAGCACUAGAGGGUGUGCACUCCGAUACUCAUGAAGACCCGAAGUUAGUAAGUGUGCAAGUAUUAUAUGAUGACUGGUGGGCCUAUAGAAUGAUAAAGUGUAUCUCAGAAGGUAGUAUAAAUAGUGGGUUUUCCACUUUCAGGUGUAGUCAUUCGAGUUAAGUGUCAUGAUAUAUGUGUAUAGUAGUUUUCCAGACCCCAGAGUGCAGUGAGUGUACUUCAGUUUAGAGUCUAGUAAGGGAUAUCCCAAACUUAAUAUGAUGGCUUGAAGCUAAGGGGGAGAUGAUAGAGCGAAUAACCAAGUCAGGCUUUCAGAUUCUAGUCGUGAUGUCAUGAUGAUAUAGAACGUCAGAAAGUGAGGGUGAGACUCAACCCAUUCUUAUCUCAGUAUUUUUUUUCCAGUUAUCCCAAUAUCUUCUCAUGCCUUAUGUUUCAGUCCAAUGAUCAAAAUUCAUGUUCAUGCUUAUGAUAGAGAAUCAUGUACUCUUCAAGCUUCAAAAUGAGAAGUUUCAGUUCAUUCAGUAGUCGGAAUCCCAUUCCAUAAGUUUGAACUCCAAAUUGAGGUCAUGUAGCUCAUGACUCAUGUACUCACGCUUUAUAGUAUGCUUGUUUUAGAUAAUACCAUAAGUGUGAAGUAAGAUCUGGGGUCAAGUUUUUGAUAUAUGUGAUUUUUAGUGGAAAUUUGUGUGUGUAUGUUUUUGGGGUAGCGCGUGGGAGUUAUAUUAAUAGUGGUUUAGAGAAUAUGUGAAGUGUGUCUUCAUAGGUGUUUGCCUUGAAGUUCAUAUGAGGUUAUAAAUAUAAGCUUGAAUGACAUGUUGGGAUUUUAGUGAAGGAACGCAAUAUGCGUUAGUGAAUCUAUAGUAAGAGUUCAGAGUUAGUCAUUAAUGUGGGAAGGCAUGAUAUGCUUAGGGUGUGAACUUUAAAAAGAUAUGGAAGAUUGAAUCAUAUUGUUUAGACUAGUAUCAUGGUAUGACAUGUAUUUUUGUGACUUGGAGUUAGGCUUGAUCGCAGUGAAAGGAUUUAAGCUACUAUAGACAUUGUAGAAAGAGCUAUCAAUGCCCAUAUGAGAAUUAUAAGUUGAAUGGAAUGAAUAUGGUAUUUAAGGGAAAUAGUAUAGUUAAGGGAGUAUUAAAGAAGUGUGCUAAUCUUGAAAAACAAGAAGUUGCAUUGUCCAAGAUCUUUUGCUCCAUAAUGCUACUAGAAUUUCUUUAGACAGAGUGUUGAAGAGAUACUCCCGUUGAAUAUAAGUUUCCGGUGUAUUUCAGUUUAGCUGUCAGGCAGACAAGUUACGGUAGUUUUCCACCUUUUCACCCAAUCCUGCUAUCCGAAGUCUCAUUCGUAUGACUAUCCCAAGAGAUAAUAUAUUUCAUCCUAAGUUGUGAAUUCAGUUCAGUCAAAGCAUCAUGUUUCAGAUUCAGCUAUUUAGGCGUGACUCAGUUCAUAAGUGGUCAGUGCAUAAUCUCAAAUACUUCCAAGUAUUUUAGCCCAGUUAGUAUAAUACCCUGGUAUGAUCUAAGUCUUGAUGCCUCAUGAUUCGUAAUUACAUAAGUUAUCACUUCUCAAUUCAAUAUGUAUGAUUGGAUCAUGAACACUUCAAGGGAAUCCUAAACUCUUAGCAUGAAUCAGCUUCUUGAAGCAAGUAAGGGCAAGUCAACUCAGAAUUCAGUUUCGUGAUAGAAGUUUGAAUAUUUCAGAUCAGUUAUAUACUUUCUUAGAAGACACAUCAUGUCAGUGUCAUUCCAUACCUUUGCGCUUCAACAUUUCCAAUCCAUCAUUCGGGGACAAAUGAUCCUAAGGAGGAGAUAAUGUAACACCCCAUAAAAGUCGUGCAUGGAUUAGCCUUUAAUAGAGUGCUCUUAGACUUAAAAAAAAAACUUGAAAAUUUUUCUAAGUGUAACUUAGAGUCAUUUUAGCUGGCAAUCUUCGGGAUACAACUUUUCAACCUUUUCGACCUCUGUUUUUAGAUUUUCAGGUUGCGUUACGAUCAUAAAAGCUCAUAGUACAUCUCGGAUAAGUUUUAGAAUUUUUCAGAAAGCAUAAGGCUGCGUUUGGAUUUCAAAACAGUAGCAAAAUGCAUAGCCUGUUGCCCAGUUUUCAGCAUUUCAGGGUCAACUUCAAACGAUCAUAACUCUCUGAAUAUAAUGAAAUGGGAGAGCUGCUACCUAUCAAAUGAAAGCUCUUUGAGUUUUCUUUCCAAUGCAACUGGUUUCAUCUAAAUCCAAGAUCUGAGUAAGAGUUAUACCCAUUUUACUUCAGCCUAUUAGUUUGUCAACUAAGGGACAGUUUCGACUUUGUUUGUUUUCUUAGGGGCAUUUUAGUCAUUUAACCUCGCCCAAAUUUCGUCUAUAACACCAUAUUUAGCCCCUAAUUCAUCAAAAUAUAAUCCUUUUCUCAAAUUUCUCUCAAGAACACCCCUUAGGGUUUUAAAAAAAAAUCCCAAAUAACUCAAGAUUCAACCGUGGGUUUUGGAAGAUAAUUAGAGAUUUGGAAUCCCCACAUCAUAGACUUCAAGGAUCAUCCCUCAAUUUCUUAAAUAGAGGUACGCGGGGUUUUCCUAAAUUCUCAUCGGCAUAGAAAUCAUGUUUUAAGAAAGGGGUUUUUGAAUUCAUGUACAUAUUCAUGUUUUAGAAGCUUUAAAUGAUAUUGUUUUAGCCUUUUGGCUUUCCCUAAAGUGACUUGAAAAUAUAUGUAUAUAUAUACGUGUUUUUCCUUGAAAUAUGAAUUAAGAGCACGAUUUACAUGAAAUCCCUCUCUUGAUGUAAUUUUCUCAUGUUUCACAUGAUAUAGAUUGUUUUGAAAUACGUGUUGAAAAAUCAUGAUAUGAAAUGCUUUGACUUUGCUAUGUUUGGAAUACGAUUUUGAACAUGAAAGAGAGGGUUGUAAAUGUUGAAUAUACAUAUAAUGAAAGAGUGCAUAAUUUUGCCAAAAGCACAUGACCACCAUAUGUUUGAUGAAAGUUUUUGCAUGGUUUUGACUUGAGUUUCGGAACAUGAAAUCUUUUAUGUAAAUUACAUGUUUGGGUGGUCUGAAACUACACUUUUAUGAAAGAUCAUACUUAAUGCAUUAUGGCUCAAAAAUAGGACUUGCAAGUCUUGGUAUGACGAUACCAACUCAGACAAAUGCCAUAACAGACACAGACUAGUUCAGAAAUCAGAUUUUAUCAGACUUUUAUGAUUAAGAAAUUUCAGAAUGAUACAUAUUCAUAAAAGGUUAAAAAUUGGGCAUAAAGAGAUGUUAGGUGGUCCCCGAAGAAGGCGUAAGUUCAGACAACUCAUUGCCCAAAAUCGUGAUUUGC
rnacentral:lncRNA from 1 species